UACAGAGGGUGCGAGCGUUAAUCGGAAUUACUGGGCGUAAAGCGCGCGUAGGCGGUUUUUUAAGUCGGAUGUGAAAUCCCCGGGCUUAACCUGGGAAUUGCAUUCGAUACUGGCAAGCUAGAGUAUGGGAGAGGAAGGUAGAAUUCCAGGUGUAGCGGUGAAAUGCGUAGAGAUCGGGAGGAAUACCGAUGGCGAAGGCAGCCUUCUGGCCUAAUACUGACGCUGAGGUGCGAAAGCAUGGGGAGCAAACAGG
rnacentral:rRNA from 1 species